rnacentral:misc_RNA from 1 species
GAACUGCGAUAAGUAAUGUGAAUUGCAGAAUUCAGUGAAUCAUCGAAUCUUUGAACGCACCUUGCGCUCCUUGGUAUUCCUUGGAGCAUGCCUGUUUGAGUAUCAUGAAAUCUUCAAAGUAAAUCUUUUGUUAACUCAAUUGGUUUCUACUUUGGUAUUGGAGGUCUUUGCAGCUUCACACCUGCUCCUCUUUGUUCAUUAGCUGGAUCUCAGUGUUAUGCUUGGUUCCACUCGGCGUGAUAAGUUAUCUAUCACUGAGGACACUGUAAAAGGUGGCCAAGGUAAAUGCAGAUGAACCGCUUCUAAUAGUCCAUUGACUUGGACAAUACUUUUAUGAUCUGAUCUCAAAUCAGGUAGGACUACCCGCUGAACUUAAGC